UUGUGAAAGAACUAGCCGAAGGGGACCAUCACAGUUGGGGCGGCAUUCCUGCUAGCACUACAAAAAGCUCCGGUCUUAACGCCCCUACUACUGCUGUGCAGCCUUUCCUCGGGUUCGUAGAGUCGGGUUUCCCGUUUACCCACAACGGAGGAGCCGCCCCCACCAGGCAGGCGGCCACGGGUCAUAACGCACUCUUCGUGGAACUCAAUCUCAUUUAGAAAGCCUGAUCUCUAUCUUUCAGCAACUAGUAUAAAAGUAGAGGUUUUCUUUUUCAUUUCACUUAGCACAAGUCAACUGUUUUUUGUACUCUCGGAUUCCCUUUUGUUUUUUUGUUCACUUGUACAUAUCUCAGCUUUUAAUACAAUUACCUUCAAAUUCAAAGACCUCCCCCCCCCCCCCCCCCCCGAAAAACUCAUGUCAAGUAUUCCAUUCAUCCACUCCAAUACAAAUGACCCAUUUCUAUAUUUCAUUAAUGAGAAGCUUUUAUAGCCAUAUCAAUGUCAUGCUUGUUCAAGACCCCAAAUUUAAUAAAUCUUCAUUCCUUUCUUAAACUUACUGCAGCUUUUAUAGCCACACAAAUGUUACUAUAUGUCUAAGAGUACAAAUUUUAUAAGUCUUCAUUUCUUUCUUAAACUUAGUGUAAUCAAACUACAAAGAACAAAUUGGAACAGAGGGAGUAUGAAUUUUGCAAAUUAAUCCGUGAAGAAAAUAUUAAGAUUGCAGAAGUAAGAAGAAAAAAUUAAAAAAAGACCUGAAGGGCAUGAUUGAAGCAGCGGUAAGCUCUAAGCUGUUUGGCGAUAGUCUGGAGAUCUUCAUGCUUAAGGGGCUUUUCUUCACGAACCCACUGGUCCAACACUGGUAUGACCGAAGCACUUGAGCUUGUCGAAUACAGUAGCUUGUGGUACAGAGUAUCCUCUGGAGACGAGGCUGGGGUGGUAUCCGACCCUUUAUCUUUCUUAGACAUAAAUAAGGAGGCUAGUGUUUCAGGUUCAGUGGAGUAUGAGGAAACCCUAGUGGAGCUGAAUUUCCACCAUGAUUUCAGACCCCUAACACUUUGCUGAACAAGUUUCACCAUCUCAGUAGAAAUGCCAAAAAGUAUGGCUCCCUCCUUCACUCUGAAUUGUUUUUAAGUGAAAACAACUCAAAAGUAAUGAAUUGAACACUCUACAUUUUUAACAGUUUGUUUGGGGGGUUGUUCAAUAUAGUGUUUUUAAUUGUAUUGUAUUUUUUUAAUUUAUAUAAUAUUUAGAUAUAUUGUAUUAUUUUCUGUUAUUUUAUUAUGUUACACACUAACAAUUUAAAUAAUAGGUAUACAUUAUGGAUAGAGUAGUUAUUAAAAUAAAACUAUAGUAAGGGCAAGAUGAGUAAAAAUAAGGUAACAACACGACUAUAUCAAAUCGAGUGUUUCGUAAAAAAGGCACUUGCAAAUACAACUUUAAAAUCGUAUUCAUCAAAUGAAGCUUUUAAAUUGCAUUCAUCAAAUGCAACUUUUAAAUUUCAUUCAUCAAGUACUACUUAUAAAUCACCAAAUUCAACUUAUAAAUCGCAUUCAUUAAGUGUAACUUAUGACUUUACAAAUGACAUCUACAAAGUUCAUAUAUGCAACUUAUAACGGAUUUGACUAAUGCAUUAUAAAGUGUAUUCUCGAUAUGCAAUUUAUAAAGCGCAUUAACCUAUCACUUAUAUUUCUUGCGACUCAACAUGAAAAGGAGUACUAAAUAUAAUUAAUUAAUAUUAUAUAUUAUUUUUUACUUUUAGAUUAUAGCGGGAAGACAGGACGCGUUAGGUUGCCCAUUUUAUUAAAUCUUUUAAAUAUAUAGGUUGUGAUGUACUAAACCACCCAUGAGUUAAACAAGAUUUUAUGGUCCAUUCAUAACUCAAAUUUGUUCUUGUCCUACACUCUCUCAUUUUCUUAAUAAAAAAGUAUUUCAAGAAUUUCACAUGUAAACAGUUGAUAUUUGAUACUAAAGCAUUUUUUCCUUUUUUUUUCUUAAGUACCGGGUAAACAUUGCCAUUAUAUGACAUCGUAAUUUUCGUUGAGAUCUUCUAUUUGUUAUACAAAAUUAAACUUUUAAGUUCCAUCUUCUCCAUGAUUUCUAUUACACAAUCCCAAGAUAGUUCUUGAGAUCUUCUAUUUGUUUUCUAAUUAUUACCAAAAGAUUUCAUAAAAAGUUCUAGAGGUCCUCUUUUUGUUCUUGUUUUACUUUAAUUCUGCACUUAGUAUAUGUUUGGUUUAUUGGAAAUGGAAAUCAGCAAUAUUGACAAAUGCAGCCAUGCAGAUUUGAGCUCUGUAAGUUGCUCAUUAUUUCCUUGUAAAUUUUAGAUAUUUUUUGACUGACAGCAGUAGCAAUGUAUCUUGCACUAAAUUUGUCAACUAACAACAGGGACCUGAGGAAAAUUAACAACGAGGUUUCAUCUGCGUAAAAUCUUCCUAGUUUCAUACUAGUAAUGAAAACAAUGUUAAUCUAAGCCAUAAUGAUUUCCUAUCUGUGAAUAAUCUCGAUCUAGUGGAUUUCUCGUCUUCGUCAAUUGAGAUACCUUGUCAUAGGUUAUGUUAAUCUAAGUAAAGCAAAUGAAUAUUGGUUAGAAGCAGUGCUCAAACUUCCCUUCCUUCAAGUCUUGAGUAGUUUAGAUGGACAGCUACCUGAGAUAAUGAAAAACUUAUCAUGCAUUUCAGAUUUUCUGCUACACUACUUUAGGAUAAAUGUAAAAUUAAGGAAGAUUCAGCCAUUUAAGAUAAAAUUACCUGAAAGAGAGUAAUGAAAUACUCUGUAAUUCCCGAGGAUCUUGGUUUUUGUUCUGAGCUUAAGGGAAGAGAAAAUUCCCGAAUCCAAUGUGAUGUCCAUGACGAAGGGCAGACCAAUAAGGGCAGGCCAAUCAAGACUGUCAAGGUUCUAGGUUGGCAAAGUACUUAUGAAGAAGGGAUGCACAUGUCACCUUAGGUGAAUCCUACGUCGGAAUGGAAGAAGAAAGUGAUGAGCUUUAUAAGGCAUGAUACAAGUUCACAUGGUAUGCGUGCUUUUGGGGUUCGAGGUGGCGUAACCCAAAAAGACAAAUUCCUGCGAGCCUAAGGGCAAAGCGCAUAAUAUAUGUCAUGGACUUGGAUCGUAACAUCCAAUGCUUGAAGACUAGGACAAUGGAAAGCCUGCAGUCUACUAGAGAAAUUCUCUUCACCAGGUUGUCUGAGGAUGAACUUGCAGUUUGGGUACAAUAUGAAAAACAUGAAGUACAAGAUAGCAGAAGCAAACGGAAGAACAUAAAGUACAGGUGCCGUUAACGCUGUGCAUUAAGCAUAUGCUGAUCCACCAACAAAAUCACAGAUCCACCAGUUACCCUUCAUUUUAACCAUUUCUCAUAUCUGUUAGAAAAAUAAUUUGGUAACUCAAAAAGAGAUAUUUAAAUUGUUGUCUAGGUUCAUUCUUGUUAUAUUAUAUUAAUGGAUCUUUAUUAUACUAUUAAUUUGAAUAUAUUUAAUGUGUGUAAUAGUAAAUUUGAAUAGCUUUAAAUAUAACAUUUUAUUAGCUUUAAAUGGCUAUUAUUAUUUAUUAUGGCUAUCAAAUCAAUUAGUUUUUUGAAUGUGACCAUUUGAAACAUUUCAUGCUUAAUGGCCUUAAAUAUGUAAUGUUUCUCAGCUUUGGUUUUAUAACUAUUCUUUCUUGACAGUUAUAUGUACAUUUUGGACUAUAUAUAUAAAUAUAUGUUUGUGUUCAUUUUGAAGGUAGAAGAAAGAAAAACUUUUCUUCUAUUGUGUUGGGUUGUUUUUGUUAAUCUUUGUUGUUUCUGUUCCUAGUUUAUACUAGAAGAGUUUGUUGAAUCUUGGGGGAUACGCCUAAUUUUAUUUAUUACGGUGUAAGCGAAAUAUCCUUAAGGACAGUGUCAUUGACACGCCUCAAGCUAAACUUUUGUUCUCCAUAAUCAUCCAUUUUUUUUCCAACAAUCUUAAGGAUAUUUAUACUAUUUUAUCAUGGAGAACCAAUUUUGACGUUGUCCAAUUUAUUUUUGAAAAUGGGUCCUGUACUUCAAGUUUGCACAGUGGUCUUAUAGAGAAUACCACUCUUUAUAAAAAUUAUUUUUGUGAGCAACGGAAUAUUAAUCAAAUUGUUGUUUCAAUUUUGUGCAUUAUCGCAUUAUGGGGGAUAAAUUGCACCACAAAAAAAAAAGAUACGUUUUUUUUAUAGUAUUUAUAUGCGCCUAAGCCUACAAAAUGUAGACUUUUAUUGUUAUCCAUUUUUUGAAAAUCUUGAAAGCUCUAAGAUAGUGGGUUUAAAUCUAUUCUUUAGUUUCAACAAAUUUGAGAUUUGAAUUUGAAGUAUUAUAAAUAAAAGCACAAUUGAUUUCUAUACCCAAAUCGUAUAAGUUCUUUGCUAAUUCUAUGAGAAUGAAAAAUUGAAUAAUUUAUUAUACAUGAUAAUCAUUCAUGUCAAAUAAAUUUGACAGAUCUUUUUUAUGGAAGGAAAGAGGAUGAUUAAUGUGUUAGAUUUUGUAAAUCUUCUCUCAUAAUAUUUGAAUGUUUUACAUAUAUUUGUUAAAGCAUUUCACAAUAUAUUAAACAACUUUUUGAGCUCUUGAAUUUUGAUGAAUUUGCAUUUAUCUUUACAAAUAAUAUAUCUACCGAAUUAUCUUAAUUAGUGAGUCAUGAUUUCUAGGAGUUCAACUUGAGUAUAUGUGUUCCUAGAUCAUUGCGGGUCUCCUCCAUAUUAGUUUGAUAGAAAUAAUAGAUAAGACCUUCAUGCUCUUGUGACAUUUCGGGUGAAACUAUAUUAUUAGUCUGUUGUUUAUAAAUUGGUAAAACUCUUUAUGAGUUGUGGAAAAGUUAUCUCCUUAACCUGAAAUUUUCGAAAUGUGGGGGACCGUAGAGUCCAGAGUUAUAUAUCAUGUUCCUAAUAAGGAAAAAUGCAGGAAAUAUUAUUUGUUAAAAUUAUAAUGAGGCCUUACAAAGUUGAGAUAUUUUGUGGAAAAAAAAUUAUAUUGGAAGAUCAAAACUAUGUUGUAUUUUUGGCUCUGAAAAGUUAUUUCAUUACGGAUCUCUUAGUCAUUUGGGUGAUGAAGAAAUCAUUAAAUUAUGAUCCGCUUCCUAUUGAUUUGAGAUAUUUCUGUAGAAGUUAAAGUUGCUUCUAUAUUUUAGAAAAUUUUAUUUUGGUGCUUGACUAUGGAAGAUACAUAAAGGAAAUAAAUUUUCAUGUGUUGAAAGAUGUUUCAAAAGGCACGGGUAUAGAAGUCAUGUUUUGUUUCAUUUGAGAUGAUUUUAUGCCUUAUUUGAGAAAUACUAUGAGUUAGUAUUUUGUAUGUGAAUCUUCCACUAUAUUAGAAGGAUACAAUGAUGAUAUUGAAUCUCUGAUUCAGAUGAGAAAAAACUAGCUAGUUAUUGUGUGAUCACCUUUUGGUGGUUGUUACGAUAUUGGAAUUGUCUGGCAAUGAGGUUGAUUAAGCAACCUCUUGGUGAGUUAAACCGACAAUAAUUAUGUCGAUGAAUUGUGAUUGCCAAGGCACAAUAGCCAUUGUAAGAAUAUAAAUCUUUCAAUGGAAAGAGUAGAUACAUUCUCUGAGACAUAAUGUGAUAAAGCAAUUGCUUAGAGAUGAGAAAUUUUUUUUAAUACAUAUUAUGUGUAGUCAAAAGAGGAUUUGGCCGAUCCUUUGACUUAUAAGUGAAACAUCGAGGGGUUGAAACUUUUGACAAUUUGAGAUGUAUCAACAAUAAUGGUAACCCAACCUAUGUGACUGGAGAUCCCAUGAAGUAGGUUCAUAUGGGUAAUAACAAGUCAUUAGUUGAUCAAAUAUGCACUAUUAAUAUAGGUCUCUUCCUAUGGUGUGUGCGUGUAUAUAGUGCAAGACUGCAAAGAAUGUGAGGCUGAGUUAUUAAACUCUUAAUCCAAUAAUUCAUAGCCUAUUGUAGGUGGUGUAUUGUGCUGCAGAAUACACUUGAUGGAUGGACCUAUACGAGUACGGAGUGGAGCCGCUCCUAUGAAAUUUGUGGCAAAAUUUCUAGAGAACUUAUGAAAACAGGUGCGUGCAUGGCCUAUUAGCGCAAAAUCGCGAUAAACAACAAAGUGUGUGAGGGUAUAAUGUGAUUGAUAAGACACUAAAUUUACAAAAGAAUUCUUGGUUCAUAGAAGUUUUAAACUUCACCAAUUGUUCCGUAAGUUUAAUCUUAUUUUAUCUAGGUCUGGUUCAUAGUCCAAAAGACACCAGAUUCGAUGCAUUAUGCUCAUUUGUGAAAACCCAGCGAAGCUUUUUAUUUUACUCUAUUACUUAAUAUUCUUUUUGAGUUAUAUGGAUGAUUGUUAGAAAAAUAAUUUGGUAACUCAAAAAGAGAUAUUCAAAUUGUUGUGUAGGUUCAUUCUUGUUAUAUUAUAUUAAUGGAUCUUUAUUAUACUAUUAAUUUGAAUAUAUUUAAUGUGUGUAAUAGUAAAUUUGAAUAGCUUUAAAUAUAAUAUUUUAUUAGCUUUAAAUGGCUAUUAUUAUUUUAUUUAUUAUGGCUAUCAAAUCAAUUAGUUUUCUGAAUGUGACCAUUUGAAACGUUUCAUGCUUAAUGGCCUUAAAUAUGUAACGUUUCUCAGUUUUGGUUUUAUAACUAUUCUUUCUUGACAGUUAUAUGUACAUUUUUGACUAUAUAUAUAAAUAUAUGUUUGUGUUCAUUUUGAAGGUAGAAGAAAGAAAAACUUUUCUUCUAUUGUGCUGGGUUGUCUUUGUUAAUCUUUGUUGUUUCUGCUCUUAAUUUAUACUAGAAGAGCUUGUUGAAUUCUGGGAGAUACGCCUAAUUUUAUUUAUCACGGUGUAGGCAAAAUAUCCUUAAGGACAUCGUUCUUGAUACGCCUUAAGCUAAACUUUUGGUCUCCAUAAUCAUCCAAUUUUUUCCAAUAAUAUCAUCUCCAAUUAUUAUACUUAGUUUUGUGCUCCAAUAUCUCUAAUUCAUGCUUUUUGUGGUUUAGACUUCAUGAUGAGACAUUUUUCACUAAUUUUUCUUUUUUGAACUAGACAUUUUCCACUAAAGUUUCACAUGGACAACUUAUUUUGUUAACUAGAAAUUCAAUUCAAAUCUUGGUAAACGCCGUUUGUAAAAGGCAGCUCGGUGCACAAAGCAUCCGACAUUUAUACACAGAUCAAAAAGGACCGCACAUCAAGGGGUGUGAUGUAGACAACCUACCCUAAUGCAAGAAUUAAUGGCUAUUUCCAUGGCUUAAAUCAAUGACCUAUAGGCCACAUAGAGAUAACUUUACUGUUGCUCCAAAGCUCUCCUUAGUAGGAAAGUCGAAAGAUUCAAAGUUAUUAUGACAAUUAUGUAAUUGUUUAAGAUGGGCUUGAUCUUACUUCAUUGUUCUGAAGACUGAGUAUGACUCACAGAAGUUCCUAUCAGUAAUUGAAAUGAUGAAUUGUAGCGUAGAAAACUAUUUAUUAGCUCAACAAUGCUAACACACAUAGUUAUAGCAAUAAUUCUAAAUUAGAUAUUUAAACAUAUCCUUACGUUGUAGUACACUAAUUCCGUGGGACAGACAUUGAGUUCAAAAUUCGCAUUAUUGUACCAUUUGUAUGGGUCAAAAUCUGGUCAUAGGAUGAUUGUUCUUACAAGGAAUGAUAAGGGGUCGACCAAGCCGUAAUCACGCCCAUGAGGCAUGAUAGUAAAGAGCACCUCAGUCAUUGCCGGGGUCAAAUCGUCGGAAAGCUUACAUCGCAGAAUGAGCGUGAUGUUUGGCCGAGCGAUGAGGGGCACAGUCAUAGGAAAGCACACUGGUCAAAGACCAUUGGAUAAAAGAGAAAAUAGCUAAUAUAUAUAUAUAUAUAUAGCUAUAUAUGGGGAGCUGAGACCAGACACGGGGGAGUGUGGCUAGCCAUGAGGAGAGAAUCAACAAAGGAAAAUCUCUCUCUCAUCAACAGCUCCUUCUCUUCCUCUCCCUUGCUUCCAUGAUUGUGGUGCAAGUCUGUCUUAUAUGUAAGCUUAUCAUUUACAUCUAAUGUAUGAUCAUUAUAUCAAGAAAUAUUACACAUUCAUGUUCUUCUUCGAUUUUUAUAUCUUAUAUAGUCGGAUCUAGGAUUAAUUAUGUUUGGCUAAGAUUUACCUUCCAUAUCUCCAGUAAUUAGUUCGACAAAAGGGUUUUAUACUUUUUUGGUCAAACAAUUUGGCACGGUUUGUGGGAAUUUUUUAGCCAAAUUUCUUAGUUUCCUUUAGAUUCAGAACCGACGAAAUGUCACUACUCACUCGAAAGAGCGGUAAGUAGGCCUUCGAGACAACCGUAUCGACCUAGGUCAGGUUGCUACAUAAAGUAGAAGUUAUAACCAAUGUCUAUGCAAAAUCAACGUCUCGCUUGUAACGAUAGAUUUUGCACGACGGAUGCACGUUCAAAAUAGAAUCAUGGUCAUAUGGCAUGGCCACAACCCCAUUUGACGUAUCUACCUUAUAUAUAUGCUGACUCGCGUUCCCACCCCUUGGGAGGGGACGACAACUUACUGCACAGUUUUUGAAAGAAUGGGCACAUCCUGCCCUAUCUUCACAUUCCCCCAAACAUUAGAUGAUUUAUGAGCGAUGUAUGACAUGUUUCCCUUGUUGUUUGUACAAAUCGGACGAGAUCGGACCAGGACUCGUUUUCAACACCUCAGCGAGUGAGGUGGACUCAACCCAUUCGAAGACUAGACGCUGUUAACGAUGGAGCCGAACACCGCCGCCAAACCUAAAGCCACCAUUCGAACACUAGACGAAACGAGUAACAUUACAACAUCACUCCUUCUUUCACUGACUCAUUAGGUCGAGGUAUGGAAAAUUUCAUUUUGGUUUAUCUUCACUCUUUUGUUGGUUUAAACAGGAAUGCGAGCACUUGCAUGGGCAAAUGAGCAUUCCAACUAGAAACAAUGGAAGGGAAACUACUACAAAACAAUUGGAAUGUCGCCCACCUCAAUUACUUCAACCUUUGAAAUAGGACAUCCCUCAAGUCGUGCCCUUUUUUCCUCACCCAGGUUUUGUCCCAGUUAAGUCUUAUCCGGGAGAUUUCUAACGAGGCGAAGAAAGGGAUGUCUCGAAGUUCAAACAUGAUUCAUCACCCCGCCUGUCGACUGCUUCCCCAAGCCGGGCGAUGAAGGGACUAGAUACAUGGAAACUUCUCCAAUAUAUGUAUGAAACGAACAUGUAUUACAUUCUCUAGUGAAUGAAACAGAGCAACAUUUUGUACUCUCCAUCAUAGUAUUCUCCAAUGAAAGCAAAGUUAAGCAAACUGGGACUCACCCAGGAAACGCACAAAAGCUAACUGGGACUCACCAGGAAACGCAGAAGCUAAUAAAAACUGGGAUCCCCCAGGGAACACCCAAUAUUCUCUAGUAAAAACACAACCGAGCACGCCAGGACUCAUCCCGACGUACGCAUAAACAGUAUGGCGACCUAUAAAAGUUCUCCAAAAUCUACGACAAUGAAACAACGGGUUAACAUUUCGACCUUAACUCGAAAUAACACCCCCACAGCCAAAGGCCAUUGCCAAAAGAAGAUUUUGACCUCACUCGAAUUACAACGGGUUAACAUUUCGGCCUUAACUCGAAAUAACACCCCCACGGCCAAAGACCAUCGCCAAAAGAAGAUUUCGACCUCGCUCGAAUUACAACAGGUUAACAUUUCAACCUUAACUCGAAAUAACACCCCCACGGCCAAAGGCCAUCACCAAAAGAAGAUUUCGACCUCGCUCGAAUUACAACAGGUUAAUAUUUCGACCUUAACUCAAAAUAACACCCCCACGGCCAAAGGCCAUCGCCAAAAGAAGAAUCUGACCUUGCUCAAAAUAUAACGGGUUAACAUGUCGACCUUAGUUCGAAAUAAAACCCUUACGGAACUAACCAUCGCCGAAUCAAAUAGGUCCUAUUUCGAUUUUACUCGAAAUAAUGCAUUUAUGGCCACCUGCCAUCGUCAAAAAGAAAAUGUUCGAACUCGUGCAAAUAAAAGUCAGAAAUUGACUUUGCUCCCUACGGCGACGCCAAGUUCUACCCCGCUCGAAUACAUAUGAAAAAGUUGACUUCGCCUAAAUCGGCAAGUUUGAACUCAAUCCCACUUGAAUGACCAAGUCGAAACCGACUUUGUCCAGAAUGGCGAAACUGAAUUCAACUUCAUUUGAAUCAAGGGUGAUUCCGCCUAAAGCGACAAAUCAGAUGUCAAUAUCGCCCGAAUACGCGAGUUCAAAGAAAUUCCAUUCGGACUUAUACGACGAGACCCUACUCGAUCCGAUCAAGGUCGGACUCCCAAAUCGAAUAAUCAGGGACUCGCCACGCAAAAAUCCGAAUGUAUUCGCCAAAACAAAAAGAUGUAACAAACAAGGGGAAGGGAAAGAAAAUCAAAGGAUAUACAAAAGCGAAACAACUUUCUUAUUUAUAUAUACGUGCGCAACAGCCGCACCUUACACAAGGCCAGAACGAGCCCAAUAAAAAAAAAGAGACGAAAAUGAAGAACAAAGAGAAUAUAUACUAAAACAGCAAUAACUUGUCACUCAGCAUCAUCACCGCCAUUCUCCCCAUCAUCAUCUUCAAGAAACUCCUCCUCAAUAUCAGCAUCCUCGCCGGCCUUUGGUGUCGCAGGAUCGUAAUCGUAGUUGACACGAGCCUCUCGUGCCUUCACCCAAGAUCCUUCAUAAGUAGCCUCAGAAACAUUGCCCACCUCCCACAAACCCUUGUAUAUGUCUCGUUGAGCCUCGGCAUGAACCUAAAGCUCAUGCAAGUGGCGAGGAAUAGCGGCGGAGGCAGAUUCAACUUGGGUCAACAAUUGCGCCUUUUCAGCCUUAAGGAUUGCGACUCGAUCUCCCAAGUUUGAAGCUUCCUGGUCUAUCUCACCAAUGCACUCUUUGAGCCUUGCCUCCCUUAGCGUGGACGUUUCCCUCUUGGACUCCUGCUCAGAUUGAAGGACGCUGAUGGUAUCCUCCAACGCUGCCGCUCUGGCUAAAGUCGAUGCUCGAGCGUUCUUGGCAUUUUCCAACUCGGCUACUUUUCUCUCCAGCUCGGCUAGCUUCCUUAUCCACUCUGCACUUAAAGCUUCAACUCUGGCAGCAUUCUGAUCGAGUUUAGCUUGCAAUGACAGCACCUUCGCCUAAAGGUGCUCACACUCUGCAGCGACCCCCUUUCCCAACUUAAGUUCUUCGUCCUUAGCACGAAGUAGCUCCUUGAGCUCACUACACUUGCGGAUGGACUGCAUCAGCUCCUGAUCCUUUUUUUUCUAGCUCCUCCCCGAGAGAUUGAUUGCCAGUGCUUGCUCUGAACUGCUCAUGCAUCUCACGACAUUUGUUGACCCGAGUCUCGGCCUCGCGAGCACUCUCGAUCACCAGCAUGUAAGACUAAAAAUAAAGAAAAAAGUCGGUGAAGGCCAAGGCCCAAAAAAGGGGGAAGGGAGGGAAAAAAACAAAGAGAAGAAACUUACCCUCAGGCCCAUCGCAGCCACUUCAUGUGAUAAUUCGACGUCACUGAUGUCCUGGAGAGCCGCACACUCUGCGGCAGAGCAUAGAAGGUCGAAUUGCGGCACCAAAUCCACAGUGUCUCGCAGAAGAUUGAGGUCCGAUAGAAUCUCGAGUAUUCGGGAAGGACCUCCCGCUUCUACCACAGUUCGGGUAAAAACCUCCUCGAACAUCCUAACAUCAUUAGGAUCGAGGUCAAAGUCAGACUCGUAAUUGAUAACUAGGGAUUCUAGUCUAGUUUAUGCUCCUUUUUGCUUGAGUUUUGGACUAAAAUGUGUACAAGUAUUCCCCAAAAGCUAACUUGUUGUGCUUGUCUGCAGUGUUUGGUCAAAAAGGGACAAAGAUGUCAUAACCAGCUAAAAAAAGGAGUGAAACCUGCACAAGUUCAAAACUAAGUCAAAGCAGCGCUACAACGGAAAAUCCACCAUGGAUGUAGAAGACCCACCGCGGUCCUCGGUGGUAAGGAUUCAGAGAGUUUUCAUUUUUGGAAUUCAAGCUACCGUGGUCCGCUGUGAUUUUAUGCGGCAGAGGUGCCUCCACUACGACUGCGGUCAAUUUACCGCGGUCCACAGAAAAGGAGUUCAGGGAACCUGCAGUUGAGCCAAAUAUUGAAGAUCGUGGUCCGCGAUGGAUUUUAUGCAGCUGCGGUAGCCUCACCACUGCAGCGGUCCAUUUUUCGUUGUCAGCGGUACCUCCAUCAGGGACAUUUUUGUCUGGAAAAUUUAGCUGUGUAUAAAUACUUUCUUUUCAGAUUUUUAGGUCAUCUUACGUUAGCUGAGCACGUGAAGCGCCGUUUAUGUCUAUUUUGAGUAAUUUUGUAGCUUACUUAGCAAUUAAUCUUAGUCUUUGAUCUUGUAAUUACAAUUUAUGUAUUAUUCUUCAUCUUAAUCUAUGAUUUCUUCUUCAAUUAUGAGUAGCUAAACCCAUUAGCUAGGGUUAGGGUUGUGGCUCAACCCUAGUGUGGAUAUUUAAUGGGUCUCUCUUUUUAGGGCUUAGAUGCUUAUGGGUGAUGGAUAUUUGGUCUGAUUUAUGCUUUUUAUGUUGAAUUAGUGGUUGCAAAUACUAAUUUGUGCCUUUUUAACUUAGGCUCUUCUUGAGAAAGAGAGACUAGUCUAGGAAUUUCAGGCCAACAAGGAAUUGAGGUGUAUUCAAGAGGUUGAUAGCCCCAAUUAAAGGGUAAACCUAGAGAUAGUAAUAACCGACUUGAGCCAAUAUUGCUUGUACAAAACACCCAAUUGGGCUUGAGAAAGCCAAUUAGGGCAAAGUCACUCAAACUACUGAGAGGUAUAGAGUGAGUAGUUUCGUGCAUUGGCUAUAUCACGAUCCCAACUAUAACAUUAUUGCCCUAAGUUUGAGAUCCUGUUAGAUACUCAUCUAGGAGAAAGUCACUUCCUUAGUGCCUCUUUAUCCAUUUAGAAAACUCUACAAAAAUAUCCAUUUAGCUUAAUUUCUUGCAUCACUAGUAUUAAAUUUAGAAGUAACAAAUAAAUAAGAAUGAUUGGAAGUGCAAUUAAAAGCACUACACAUUGCUAGAUUAGAUAGGAAUCCAACUCCAAAUAUAUCUAGCUCCCUGUGGAUUCGAUCCCGACCUUCUCGGGUAAAAGCUACAUCGAUCUCUCUUGUCACUCUGUAGUAGUGUAGGGUUGGACCCGAUCACUUUUUGGCACCGCUGCUGGGGAGCUAAACGGUUUUGGAUAUCUAUCUGAAUAGUUUUGUGUUUUGUUUUUCUUUCCUUCUGUGUUACUAAUUUGUGUGCGUCAUCAAUUCAGGUACAAAAUGACGAAUAAUGAUAAUCUUGGAAAUGUUAUUCUGAUGGAGGAUGUAGAUAACAAUAUUGAUGAUGAGGUACCUAUAGUGCCUCAAGCUCAAAGGAGAGGCUGCCAGGACAAUGAUAUUGUUCCAGACCCUCCCCCGCCUCCUCCAAGAGUCGUUCCUCGGGUGCUUCCAAACGAGGGAUAUGCUAGUGCAAUUGUCCCACUCCGGAUCCAGGCGGGCAAUUUCCAAAUUACAAAUGUGAUGUUGACUUUGUUGGAGCAGCGAGGGUAUUUCACAGGUGCCCCCCAUCAGAAUGCAUAUAAACAUCUCAAGGGCUUUGUGGAUACGUGUUGGGGAAGCAAGCAAACAAAUGUGUCAGAGGAUGCAUUGCAGUUGAGAUUAUUCCCUUUCUCACUUACAAGGAAAGCUUUGGACUGGCUUGAGAGGCUUCCUAACCAUUCUAUCACAACAUGGGAUGGGUUUGCUGAUAAGUUCAUAGCCAAGUUUUUCUCACCGGGACAUAUGGCGGCAUUGAGGGAUGAAAUCUUAUCAUUCAAAUAGGAACUAAAUGAGCCCCUUCAUAAAAUCUGGGAUCGAUAUAGAACUAUGUUCAAGGAAUGCCCCAACAAUGAUAUGACUGAGGCAAUGAUUCAGCAGACAUUUUAUCGGGGUAUAAACAUGGCCAAUUAGUGUAUGGUGAACCAGUUAGCAGGGGGUAAUUUCAUGAAGUUGCCUUAUGCUGAGGCUUGUGAUAUUCUUGAUAAGAUGGCUGGUACUUCUUCAACUUGGCAAAGUCGAGCUAAUGUGCCACAGGGUGACCCCACUUUCAUUCACUUGCACAAAGAGCUCUAUGACCAUGGCCAAGCAAUAGCAAAGUUGACUACAAUAGUGAACCAGUUGACAAAAACUCAGUUACAAAAAGUUCAAGCCCCUAGACAAGUUAAUGCUAUAGAAGGUGUCAACAUGUUGGUCAACAAGAGGCGACAAAGAGGUCAAAAAGGUCAAAGUAGUCCGGAUCAAUAUGACCAAGGUAGUGGUGGUUUCAAUUAAGAUGAGGGCUAUGAUGAGCAUAAUGAAGAAGUGCAGUAUGUGAACAAUUACCAAGGACAAAGGGGCAAUACUCCUAACCAACAACAACAGUGGAAGUCCCAAGGCAACUAGGGGAAUCAAAACCAACAAGGAAAUAGCUACUGGGGGAACAACAAUCAAAAUUGGGGCAAUCAGAACAACCAGGGCAACUGGAGUGGCAACAACAACAAUUGGGGAGGAAACAACAACCAAGGGGGUUGGAAUAAUAGCAAUCAAGGAAAUCGGGGGCAAGGCUUCCAAAGACCUCCGAUGUAUCAACAAACAAACAACCCUCCUCCAUUUUUGUCCCAAGGUCCUAGCUCGUCAAAUAAUGAGAUGGGAAGGAUCGAGAUGAUGUUUGAAUAAAUGAUGAAAAAGAACGCCGACUCUGAUGCUCAGUUGGCGUCCCAUAAUACUUCGAUCCGAAACUUGGAGGUUCAACUUGGCCAAAUUUCGCAAUCUUUGAAUACUCUCCCUAAGGGGGCUCUACCUAGUGAUACGGUAGUAAACCCGAAGGGUGGGAACAAUACUAGGCAUGUAAUGGCGGUGAUUACUAGAAGCGGACGAGGUAGUGAAGUGAACACUUCCAAGCAAAAGAAAGUUGUGAAUGAUGAGGUUGAAAUGCAAGAUGAUGAUAUCCCUUUAGUUGAUGAGCAAGUUAGUGAAGAGAAAGUGAAUGCCUAAGUGAGGAUUGAUAUUCAUGAUAAUGAGGUGGAGGCUCAAAAUGACAUGAAUCAGUCUAGGAAAUACGUGAUAGACAUGUCGGAAACGGUAGUGCCCAAGGCUAAAACUCCUUUGCCAAGGCCUCCUCCACCUUACCCUCAAAGGCUUGCGAAUCAAAAGAAUGAGAACUAAUUUAAGAAGUUCAUAGAGAUGAUGAAAAGCUUGUCAAUCAAUGUUCCAUUAGUGGACGCUCUUGAACAAAUGCUGGGUUAUGCCAAGUUCAUUAAAGACUUGGUGACUAAAAAGAGAUCCAUGGAUUGUGAGACCAUCAAAAUGACUCACCAAGUAAGUGAAAUUGUGCACUCAAUGGCUCCAAAGCUUGAAUAUCCCGAUGCUUUCACUAUUCCAUGCACGAUUGGGAGUGCAGAUUUUGCAAAGGCAUUAUGUGACUUGGGAUCGAGCAUCAAUUUGAUGCCUUACUCCGUCUUCAAAACUUUGGGUGUUGUUCAACCACGACCUACUUCAAUGAGGUUACAAAUGGUGGAUAGAAUAAUGAAGAGGCCGCUUGGUAUUAUUGAUGAUGUUCUUGUUCGGGUGGAGAAGUUCAUUUUGCCUGCUGACUUUGUGAUUUUGGACUGCGAGGUUGAUUAUGAGGUUCCGAUCAUAUUGGGAAGACCUUUCCUUGCAACUGGGAAGGCCUUAGUUGAUGUGGAAGUAGGGAAACUCACCUUCCGGGUGGGUGGUGAGAAAAUGGUCUUUCAUGUGUGCAAAUCAAUGAAGCAACCCAACAGUACAGAAGUGUGCUCUUUUGUGGAUCUUGUCAUGGAAGUCAUAAUUGAUGAUACUAGUGCAAUGAUCAAUGUGGAGGACCCUCUAAAAGUGGUAUUGUUGAACCUUUAUGUCAAUGAGGAUGAAGGCCGGGUGGAGUGUGUCAAUGCUUUGCAUGGAAUGAGCUCUUACUCUUAUGAGCCUCGUAAGCUCUCUUUGGAUUUUGAGAAUAGAAAGACCCCACCAAUAAAGCCCUCAAACAAGGAACUUCCCGUGUUGGAAUUGAAGUUGUUGCCUCUACACCUCAGGUAUGAAUUCUUAGGCCCUCGUUCAGUUUUGCCAGUUAUUCUUUCCUCUUGUCUUACUAACAUGCAGGUAGAUGCCAUAUUGGCGGUGCUCCAAAAAUAGAAGAAGGCAAUUGGAUGGAUUCUAGCUGAUAUCCGGGGAUAAGCCCCGCCUUUUACAUGCACAAGAUUAUUCUUGAAGAUGAUUCCAAGCCCUCCGUGGAAUAUCAAAAGAGGUUGAAUAAGGCUAUGCAAGAGAUUAUCAAAAGGAGGUGAUCAAAUGGUUGGAUGUAGAGGUUGUGUACCCCAUCUCAGAUAGUUCUUGAACUUAGCCGGUGCAAUCUGUGCCGAAGAAGGGUGGUAUGACAGUGGUUACUAAUGCACAAAAUGAGUUGAUUCCCACCAAGACUAUCAUCGGAUGGAAGGUGUGCAUGGACUACCAUAAACUGAAUAAAGUGACCCACAAGGAUCACAUCUCAUUGCCUUUUCUUGACCAGAUACUAGAUAGACUUGUUGGGCGGGCCUUCUACUGUUUCUUGGAAGGGUACUUCGGGUACAACCAGAUUUUGAUUGCUCCGAAAGAUCAGGAGAAAACAAUCUUCACUUGUCCGUAUAACACCUUUGCCUUUUCUAGAAUGCCAUUUCGGUUGUGUAAUGCACCGGCUACAUUUCAGCGAUGUAUGAUGGACAUAUUUAUCGACAUGGUGGAGGACAUUUUGGAGGUGUUCUGGACGACUUCAGUGUUGUGUGUGACUCGUUUGAUGAAUGUUUGAAAAAUCUUGACAAGGUGUUGGCCCGGUAUGAAGAGACCAAUCUUGUGCUUAACUGGGAAAAAUGCCACUUUAUGGUCGAGGAUGGCAUUGUCCUCGGCCAUAAGAUUUCAAAGCAUGAUAUAAAGGUGGACAAGGAUAAAAUUGAAGUGAUCUCAAAGCUUUCUCUUCCUACUUCAGUCAAGGGGGUUAGAAGUUUUCUUGGGCAUGCACGGUUCUACCGAAGAUUUAUCAAAGACUUUUCUAAGGUAGUGAAUCCUUUGUGCAAGUUAUUAGAAAAAGAUGCCAAGUUCAUGUUUAAUGAGGAAUGUAUGCAAGCUUUUGAACUUUUCAAGUACAAAUUGACAACCACUCCCAUUAUUACCGCACCCAAUUGGAGCUUACAUUUUGAGAUCAUAUGUGAUGCAAGUGACGUUGCAGUUGGAGCGAUCUUAGGUCAAAGAGACAACAAGAUGUUUCACCCGGUGUAUUAUGAAAGCAAGACAAUGAAUGAUGCUCAAGUGAACUACACGGUGAUGGAAAAAUAGGUGCCAACAAUUAUGUUUGCAAUGGAGAAAUUUAGGGCUUAUCUCAUGAGGGCCAAGGUGAUAGUUCAUACUGACCAUGCAGCACUUUGCUACUUGGCGACAAAGAAGGAUUCCAAGGCGAUAUUGAUGAGAUGAGUUCUAUUACUUCAAGAGUUUGACCUUGAGAUUGUUGAUCAGAAAGGGAGUGAAAACCAAGUGAUAGACCACGUAUCCCACUUGGAGGAGGAGGGGAGGCCUUGUGAUGGCCUUGAAAUUAAUGAUCCAUUCCUUGAUGAGCAACUUCUCUCUAUAUCUGUGAAUAGCAUGCCUUGGUUUGCAAAUGUUGCCAACUUUCUUGUGACCGGUAUUGUUCCAUGUGAGCUCUCUUCUAACCAAAGGAAGAAGCUCAAAUGGGAUAGCUUGGAAUACUAUUGGGAUGAGCCUUAUUUGUUCAAAAUUUGCAAUGAUGGUGUGAUCCGAAGAUGUGUUCUGGAAGAAGAGCAACUGAGUAUUCUUAAUUCUUGUCAUUCCUCUCCUUAUGGUGGUCACCAUGGUGGGGCAAGGAUAGCUUCAAAGGUGCUUAGCUGUGGAUUCUAUUGGCCUACAUUGUACAAGGAUGCAGGUGAUCUUGUGAAGAGAUGUGAUGAGUGCCAGAGAGCUGGCGAAAUUUGAAAGAAGGAUGAAAUGCCUCUCACCACUAUUCUUGAGGUUGACAUAUUUGAUGUGUGGGGCAUCGACUUCAUGGGACCUUUUGUAAGUUCAUGGGGUAACACAUACAUUCUGGUGGAUUUUGAUUAUGUUUCCAAUUGGGUUGAGGCCGUGGCUUUACCCAACAAUGAGGCCUGGAGUGUUGUGGCUUUUCUCAAGAAGAGUAUCUUUACUCGGUUUGGCACUCAUAGAGCAAUCAUCAGUGAUGGGGGUUCUCAUUUAUGCAAUAAGGCAUUUGAUACUCUACUUGCAAGGUAUGGUGUCAAUCAUAAGGUUUUAACCCUUUACCAUCCUCAGGCUAGUGGGCAAGUUGAGGUCUGCAACAGGGAGAUUAAGAGCAUAUUGUCAAAGACCGACCGACUAGUCCAAGAAAUUGGAUGAUGCUUUAUGGGCCUACAGGACUACUUAUAAGACUCUGAUUGGUAUGUCUCCGUACCGGUUGAUGUUUGACAAAGCUUGCCAUCUACCGGUUGAGUUAGAGCACAAGGCCAUGUAGGCUUUUAGAAAGUUAAAUCUUGAAUGGUUGUAGCAAAUCUUCGGGUGGAGCAACUUAAUGAGCUUGAUGAGUCCGGUUCCAUGCCUAUUCCAGCUCGUCCUUGUAUAAGGAAAAGAUGAAAUACUUAUAUGACAAAUAUGCUCGUGGCAAGGAGUUCAAAGUAGGUGAUUUGGUUCUCUUGUUCAACUCCCGGUUAUGACUGUUUACGGGAAAGCUUAAGUCAAAAUGGAGUGGACCUUUUGAGGUGGUGCUUGUGACUCUGUUUGGUGCUCUUGAUUUGAAAAACAAAAAUGGUAAGAUAUUCAGAGUUAAUGGGUAUAGAGUCAAGCACUAUCUUGGCAAGUUUGAUGAUGGCCACGUGAUGGCAAUGAUCCAUCUCAAGUGAUUGAUGGUAACUUUCGUCGUGUUGCGACGUUAAAUCAGGCACUUCUUAGGAGGCAAACCAUGUGUUUUUAUUUUUGUUUUUCUUUGAUUUUCCUCUUAGUAUAAGAUUUAUUUUUGGACUAACUGGUUGUGAGAUGUGUAUAGGGAUGUUUGAUGCAGUGCGGGACUAAGCUGGAAAAAUGUGUCACUCUCUGAAGUUUGGACCGCGGUUGCGCUCUUUUUUUUUGCGGUCCGCGGUGGCCUUAUCGCGGGGGUGGAAUUUGAUUGCGGUCAGCGGUGCUAAACAAUCCAAAUUGGGGGUUCUCUAAAGUUUCAACCGCUGUCGCGGUGCAUUUUUCACGGUCAGUGGUGGCUUAUUGCUGUCGCUGAGCAUUUUUCGCGGUCCGCAGUGGUCUCAAAGCAACAACUCUUCUGAACUUCACAACCGCGGUCCACAGUGAAUUUACCACGGCUGUGGUAGGUAAGAAUAUGUGGGUCCCAGGGCAUAUCUAUAAAUAGAACCAUAGGGCCCCCUUUUACACUUUUUGCUCUUUGCAUUCUCAAACAACAUAGACUACCGUUCACUCACACCCUAACUUACACAAACACAAGAACUAAGCUUAAUUUGUUUCACAUUUCACAUCUGGUAAUUUUAAUCAACCCUUAGUCUUUAAUUUUGUUUUUAUUUUCUUUUAAAUUGAUAGUUAUUACUUCUUCCUCUUCCUUUUUCUUUCAAUGUAGACUUAGGGUUCCAUAGUGUUAAUUAGAUUAGGUUUCAAUUGGUUAGAAAUUGUUAUUAACUACCUAGCGGGAUUGAUAAUGUGUUGAUUAAUGCCAAAAUGCAUGAAAAAUUAGAAACCCUAGGUGUUGAGCCCUAAUUUGACCUCCGCAGUCCGCAGUUAUCUUUGUUUUGUGAGAUUAUUAAGUUCUGAUAACUGCGGUCAGCGGUGGCAUUUUCCGCUGACAGUUGUGCCUCUCUGCGGCCGCGAUGGGUUUUCUGUGGUCUGUGGUGCAUCUGAAUCAGAGAGUGGGUAGUCUGAAUCCCAUACCUCCGCGGCCGUGGUUGAUUUUUCGCAGUCCGCGGUACAGCCUUCGAGGCCACGAUCCUUUUUUUGCGAUCCGCAGUUUGUUGUUUUGUCUUGCACUGUCAACUGCUUUUCUGCACUACUUCUUCUAGUCUUUGCACUAACAAGUUUCAAAUGAUUAUACUUGCAGACAAUGGUUAAAUCUAGAGGAGGUGGUGACA
rnacentral:lncRNA from 1 species